rnacentral:lncRNA from 1 species
CUGCCUGUAAGCUCCAACCAGCAGGUGGAAUCCAGGAGUUCCAAGGUCCUAAGGGUCCUUACCCCUCAGCUGAGAAAAUAGGGAAAGCCUCAUAUUAGGAUGGAGUGCAGUGGUGCAAUCUCUGCAAUCUCUGCGAUCUCCGCUCACUGCAAGCUCCGCCUCCCGGGUUCACGCCAUUCUCCUGUCUCAGCCUCCGGAGUAGCUGGGACUACAGGCGCCCACCACCACGCCCGGCUAAUUUUUUGUAUUUUUAAUAGAGAUGGGGUUUCACCGUGUUAGCCAGGAUGGUCUCCAUCUCCGGACCUCGUGAUCGGCCCGACUCGGCCUCCCAAAGUGCUGGGAUUACAGGCGUGAGCCACCGCGCCCGGCUAAUUUUUAGCAUUUUUGAAAUAAACUUAAGAAAAAGAACAAGCUUUCAGAAAACAUGAAGAAACUUAAAGAUGAGCCAAAGGGUUAUUUGAUUGCCUUUUAAUUCUUUACUCUACGUUACUCAACAUUUAGAUGUCAGUACACAAGUUCAGCCAAAUGCUUGUGAAAUUUCUUCUGAACGCAUCCCAGGAGACUUGACCCUCCCCGCUUCAGGAUGCUGACUCUGUUUUGCCUGAAACCAGACAAGCUCUGCUUCAGGGUCUGUGAGUGGAAGGGGGUGGGUGGGAACCUCUCGCAACCUCUCCUGGGACAGACACAAUGGGCAAUCGUGACCUCCUGGGGUAGAUACUGAAACUGUGACAAGUGAUAACAAAACUGGCAGAAAUCAGUUGGACCCAAUAUGGCCAACUGGAGUUUCUGCAGAAAGAGCUUGCUGAUAUCACAGCCUGAAUUUCCACGCAUGUUUCGUAUUAACUGCCCCGGAAUUUGAUUUGCACACAGCACCCAUGAGGAAGCAUGAAGAGAUAACUGCGCAUGUCUGAGGACUUGCCAGACCUCCUCUUUCCUUCCACCGAUCUCCUGCUAAUCCCGGAACCCACCCUCUAACCCUUUUCUAAUAAAAUUAUUUCCUUAAAGGCAGCACAGCGAGACAGAUUUGAGCUGGACUCCUGUCUCCGUGUUGGUCAAUUUGCAAUGAAAAGCUUUUCUUUUCUCUGAAACCCAGUGUCUUAGUAUUUAUUGGCUUCUAGCGCACGGGUCAGUGACCUCUUUUGCUCGG